GACGAACGCUGGCGGCGUGCUUAACACAUGCAAGUCGAACGGAAAGGCCCUGCUUGCCGGGUACUCGAGUGGCGAACGGGUGAGUAACACGUGGGUGAUCUGCCCUGCACUUCGGGAUAAGCCUGGGAAACUGGGUCUAAUACCGGAUAGGAGCCAUUUUUAGUGUGAUGGUUGGAAAGUUUUUUCGGUGUAGGAUGAGCUCGCGGCCUAUCAGCUUGUUGGUGGGGUAAUGGCCUACCAAGGCGGCGACGGGUAGCCGGCCUGAGAGGGUGGACGGCCACAUUGGGACUGAGAUACGGCCCAGACGCCGACGGGAGGCAGCAGGGGGGAAUAUUGCACAAUGGGCGCAAGCCGGAUGCAGCGACGCCGCGGGGGGGAGGACGGGCUUCGGGUUGGAAACUCCUUUCGCUAGGGACGAAGCUGUUUGUGACGGUACCUAGAGAAGAAGCACCGGCUAACUACGUG
rnacentral:rRNA from 1 species